rnacentral:rRNA from 1 species
UACGUAGGGUCCAAGCGUUGUCCGGAAUCACUGGGCGUAAAGGGCGCGUAGGCGGCUCAUGAAGGCUGUGGUGAAAGUCCGGGGCUCAACCUCGGAUCGGCCGUGGCGACUCGUGGGCUGGAGCACUGUAGAGGCGGGUGGAAUUCCGGGUGUAGCGGUGGAAUGCGUAGAGAUCCGGAAGAACACCAGUGGCGAAGGCGGCCCGCUGGGCAGUGGCUGACGCUGAGGCGCGACAGCGUGGGGAGCAAACAGG